GAUGAACGCUGGCGGCGUGCCUAAUACAUGCAAGUCGAGCGAACGGACGAGAAGCUUGCUUCUCUGAUGUUAGCGGCGGACGGGUGAGUAACACGUGGAUAACCUACCUAUAAGACUGGGAUAACUUCGGGAAACCGUAGCUAAUACCGGAUAAUAUUUUGAACCGCAUGGUUCAAAAGUGAAAGACGGUCUUGCUGUCACUUAUAGAUGGAUCCGCGCUGCAUUAGCUAGUUGGUAAGGUAACGGCUUACCAAGGCAACGAUGCAUAGCCGACCUGAGAGGGUGAUCGGCCACACUGGAAGUGAGACACGGUCCAGACUCCUACGGGAGGCAGCAGUAGGGAAUCUUCCGCAAUGGGCGAAAGCCUGACGGAGCAACGCCGCGUGAGUGAUGAAGGUCUUCGGAUCGUAAAACUCUGUUAUUAGGGAAGAACAUAUGUGUAAGUAACUGUGCACAUCUUGACGGUACCUAAUCAGAAAGCCACGGCUAACUACGUG
rnacentral:rRNA from 1 species